rnacentral:rRNA from 1 species
AGCGAACGCUGGCGGCAUGCCUAACACAUGCAAGUCGAACGAGACCUUCGGGUCUAGUGGCGCACGGGUGCGUAACGCGUGGGAACCUGCCCUUAGGUUCGGAAUAACUCCCCGAAAGGGGUGCUAAUACCGGAUAAUGUCUUCGGACCAAAGAUUUAUCGCCUUUGGAUGGGCCCGCGUUGGAUUAGCUAGUUGGUAGGGUAAAAGCCUACCAAGGCGACGAUCCAUAGCUGGUCUGAGAGGAUGAUCAGCCACACUGGGACUGAGACACGGCCCAGACUCCUACGGGAGGCAGCAGUGGGGAAUAUUGGACAAUGGGCGAGAGCCUGAUCCAGCAAUGCCGCGUGAGUGAUGAAGGCCUUAGGGUUGUAAAGCUCUUUUACCCGGGAUGAUAAUGACAGUACCGGGAGAAUAAGCUCCGGCUAACUCCGUG